CGCUCAAUUUUUUUGCCAAAACUUAAACUUCCCACUUUUUUUUUAAAGGACAUAAAGGUUCCAUUGAAACAAAACUUCUCUCCUCUCAGACGGCCAACGCUUACAGCUCGCCAUCUCUCUCACGAAAUCUCCCUCUUGAUCUUUACCCACAUGGCCGAAAACACCAGUUGAUGUCGAAGCAAAAGCCUAUCCUCUAGCAAUUGCAGUGGCUCAGGUCUAAGUUUUCGGUUGGGAGAUGGUAACUAUGCGGUAGGCGCUGGGCGGCUGGGCAGUCAUGAUAGUUACUCUCCGCCUCUCCUUUGUCGCUCUCUUUGCACCACGCAACCGCGCCACACCCCUCUCUCCCUCUCUCUCUCUCUCUCCCUCCUUGAUGGGAUCUCCCUCAGUCUCUCACUAUAAGUUCUUGUUCUUCUUAAUCUGGGAAAUUUGAAUUUGAAAUUGAAAUGAAUUGGAAAUUUGGAAUUCGAAUUGGUAUGUCCUACACUCAUACUGAAAAUCUGGGCUUCGUAUUGAUUCUAUUGAAGAAAAGAAACUUGUAUAAUCAGGGCUUCGUAUCGAUUCUAUUGAAGAGAAGAAAGUUGUAUAAUCUGGGCUUCGUAUUCGUUUAAUCUAGUUAGAUAUAAUGAAUAUGCAUAUUGUUAAUGAAUAAUGCUUCGUUUAA